UUCCCAGCCGUUCCACUGCUGACCUGGUAAUGGCGCAUCGUCGUCUGAUCUCUUCACCACAUCCUCCAGUGCUUAUCUCAAGCACUCAGAGCCGAGAUAUUGGCCGAGAUAUCUUAUUAUUUGACGCUGGCUAAUGCACAAACCGUGCCGAAGUAAGGAAGAAGAAGAAAUUAAAUUUUUAUUGAUUGAUUUAAAUUUUACAAAUUGGCUCAACUUUAUAAACAAUCUCUUUAAUUCAUUGCCUAGUGCCUACUCACAAAUAAAACUGAUAAAUUGCAUCAUUGACAAAAAUGGAGUUCAAUGAUACAACCAAAACAGAGGACACAUUAACUUUAAAAAAAUAUGAAAAUUUCACAAAAGACGAAAUGAUAGAAAUAAAACAUUUUUCAAAUUCAGAUCAUGAAAGUAAUGCAAGAAAAGAAGAUUCAGAUAAAACACAACAAAAGGAUGAGAGAUAUGAUAAUCCAUUCAGAGAAGAAAAAACUGAAAUAAAUAAUUCUAUUAUAGAAAUGACGGAAAGCAGUGAAAAGCGAGAUAGUAAACAUGACAGCACGAAUAGUUCGUCUAAUAGUCGUGAGAACUAUUCCCCCAUGAAAAUAGAUUUCAUGGCUCUUGAGGAGAAUCAUGAAUAUGAUACAUUCGGUGACAACAACACAGUUUAUAGGAAGUAUAAGCUUCGCAAGAGAACAUCUAAACCAGUUGUUGAAUAUCAAAUAGAUGAAUUUGAAGAAGUCAAAGAUAUUAAAAAGAGAAUUUCAAAUAUAGAACCAGAAUUGAAUACAUGUACAUUUUGUUCUAUGGAAUUUUCUAAUAAACAAGGAUACAACAAUCACAUGAGAAUACAUAAAAAUAAAAGUUCAACAUACAAAUGUGCACAGUGUUUCCAAACUUUCACAGAAAACAAUGAUUUGAUAAGUCAUAAAGAAAUCCAUAAUGAUGAAUCAUUUUUUAUUUGCAAUAAAUGCCCAGUGGCAUUUACAAAUAACUGUGACUAUCUCAUUCACAAGGCAAGUCACAACACAAAAAAGGUUUUUACUUGUGAAGAAUGCGAACAGACAUAUUCAAAUAAAACAAGCAUCGUAAAACAUAUUGAAACACACUUUGAUAGAAGAACGAAAUGUCAUCUGUGUUUUAAAAUGAUAAAAAAUUACAAUUUACAAAGUCAUCUGAGAAAUCACGAAACAUCUUAUGAAUGUGUUGAAUGUGGUAAAUGUCUUGUCAACAAAUCAGAUUACAAUUUGCAUAUGACCAUGCAUACUGGCAUCAAAUUGUUCCAAUGCCUUUACUGUGGAAAAGGUUUUGCAAACAAUCAGCAAAGGAACAACCAUACAAGAGUUCAUACAAAUGAACGCCCCUAUGAAUGUAAGAUUUGUUUCCAAAAGUUCAAAGACACAAUAGGAUUGCAGCGCCAUAAAGUAACUCAUGACACUGUAAAAAGACACCAAUGCAAUGUUUGUGGGAAAAAAUAUUUUCAUUUACAGCAACUGAGAACGCAUUCACGUAUUCAUAGUGACUUUUCUCGGUACACAUGUCAGAUGUGUGGAAAACGCUUCCCUAAUGCUGCAGGUCUAAAAACUCACAUACUGUACAUACAUAAAAAAGACAGACCUUACAAAUGUGAAUACUGUAAUUACAGUUUUAUAAUAAAAGGGCAGUUGGUAAGACACUGCAAAUCAAAACGGCAUAAUAAUAAUGUGUAUGGCUUUAUGCAAAAGGAUAAAUAAGGAAUUAAAAUACCAAUAAAAAAUGCUCUUUCUGUAUUUGAAUAAACACAUAACAUAACUUUAGACUCUUUUACAGGUUAAGACUUUAGUUUAUAAAGUUUUAACUUAAAAACGCGUGUUUUUAUUAAACCCAUAAAAUCCUCUAAAAUGCCUCUCGCACGUAAAUAAUUUUUUUAUAUUCUAUUAUUUGACAAGAUAUUCCCUAAAUAAUCUCUGAACAUUUUGAUAUUAUUCUUACCGAUUGAGUUCACAUAUCAUAUUAGUAAAUUUUGAGUUAUUAAUGCCGAACCUUUCGUCGCAAGCGACGGGUUCGACGAGAACGGUGACAGGUGCUUGAGGUACCUAACUAAAAGCACCGUUAGUGGAUCGGAAGGAUUCGAAAUGAUGGGCUUAAGGCGACGUGGACUGUUUACCAUCGCUUAAUCUCGACAUCAGUACCCAUAUAUCUAAAAUUGUAACAAAUUCGUCGAACGUAGUUUUACGGGAUUUUUUAAAAGUUCAGUGGUAGUUAAGUAUCACCGUUUUUCUGAGACGUUAUUUUAUUUACUGAAAAUUUAACCCCUUUAUCAAAUUAUGUUUGUUAAUUUUAUUUCGUUCGGCUCCAUUUCGCUUUUCGACUCUCGUAUAUACGACAAAUUAUAUGGGUUGGAUCCUUAAAUAAAUAUCAUAAAAAAAGCAAUUGAAGUAUGUAUGGGCUCUGUUCCCUAUGCGUUACCGACUAUUCAGGAGAAAUAAAAAAAAUGUAACCAAGGAUUGUUAUUUUUAAAUAAAAAAACAGUGGAGCUUUUGUUUUCGUUUCUUUAAAUAAUAAAGUUUUGUAUUACGCAGUUUAGAUAGACAUUUGAUAUGAUUUUAUUAGAUUUUUAAUGGUGACCAAAUUCUAUUUAUUCUCUGAGAAUCCAUAAUGGAAGUUGACAGUGUUGAUAAUUGGUGUACUAAUACCGAUAAUGGCAAAUUUGCGAACUUAAAAGCUUUUGUAACAGCCGCUCGUGAAUUUGAAGCAACGCAUAGUGAAUCUGCACUUAAUUUAAUGACUCGGUAUCUUGGAUUAAUUGCAUCUUCCUGUGACUUAACAAUAUUCUCUCCUGGCCGUUCCGAAGUUUGCGCGUUCUUCAGUUCUUUGUGGAGAGUAAUGUGUGAUGGGCGAGGUCCUCAUUGGGCAGGAGUAGCAGUGCUGUCACGUGCUGCAGCGGAGCCAAGCGCGAGGCAUGCACUCACCCAUACAUACAAAUUUAUAGCAAUAUUGUCACGGCUGUUAACAGAUUCAAUAUCAAAUGAGAAGAAAAUAAAAUUACUAUCUGUAAUGCAGGAUAUUUCAUAUGGUAUCAAAAUCAGCUGGCAAGAAUCAUAUCUGACAAGUUUGAUGAAACAGUUGACCGAUUGGAUAAGACAGCCGAUGACAGAACCACACCAUAAAGCAAUUGGUCACAAAUCACUGACGGUGCUUGUUAAUGUGUGUUAUGGAAACCUGCCUGCAAUAUAUGCUCUAAUGAGGACAGUAGACACAAAAGAAUUUGUUGUGCAUUUGAUUAGUUUAAAGGACGGGGGCUAUGGUGGUGUCGAAGUAUGUAGAUUAUUGUUGUGUUUGUCCGGAGCGACUAGAGGAACAGCUGUGAGGCAACCUGACGCGCACAGCUACCUGUGCUGUACUAUGAGAACUUUCAAAAAAGCUGUUGUAGACCGUGAUGCGACACAGUUGCUGCACGCGUACACAUUUCUAAACGAUCUCUGCUCAGAAUCGAACUUAAGGGAAUUUGUUUUGACAUACCCUCAUUUUAGUGCUGCGCUUACGAAUUCUCUUAAGGACGUAGACGAUCUGGUGAGCACAGCUCUUGAUGAUGUUGGCGAACCAGAGUGCGCGAGCGCUUGUCUUAAGCACGUACUCAAAUUUCUAACUGUGCUUUCUGGAUUAGAUCUAUAUUCUCUACGGAGUCAUCACAGUCAAUUAAUGUUAUUAUGUAUUAAAACGAGUGCCGUCUGUUUGCCUGAGUCUUUGGAGCUUUUCUCAGUAAUUGUGACACAGUACAGGGAUGAAGGCCGUUUACCGCAAGAGCUAAUAUCAAUAAUAAGCGACAGACUACCUGGUCUAUUGGUGCCGCCUUUGGAGCCAGGGAAAGCAGGACUACAAUGGCUGCAAGUCGUCGGUGCGUUGUGCGAGUCGAGCGAAACUCAGGAGAAGGUACUCCAGGAGGUGACGCCGCACGCGUUCGAGGACACCCUGUACAACGUCCUGCACUACACCGCGCAGAGCGGCGCAGUCGGAGCAGAGAGCUCGCAGCAGGCCGCGGUGGCGUCGUGCCGCGCCGCGCUGUGCCUGUGCCCGGCCGCACGGGACUGGGAGGCCGCUCUCACCAGGAUGCUGGCGCACCACCAGGUACGAAAAAUGCUCUGCGCCGGCCUGAUGAGCAGCAACGGGCAGCGGAGGAGACAAGUUCUGCAGCUGAUCAAACAUCAUUACUUCCCCUUAGACCAGAUGAACCAGGUGUUCGGGGAAUCCUUCGCUGCGGAUGUGAGCGGCGAGCCGCCCGGUGCCUGCAGCGCCGACCGCGCCGACAGCCGCGCGCCGCCGCCCGCGCUGCCCUGGGCGGAGCACCCGGCGCUGGAGCUCGCCACGGACGCGCUCGUCCGGAGGCUCAGCGACGCCCUCGCCGACGGGAAGAUUUCCGACAUAGCCACUUCGAGCGUGAUGGAGUUGUACGGGUACAAGAUGACCUGCCUGGAGCAGAGGCUGCACUCGCACUCCGCCGCGCUGCAGGGCGCUACGGAGCAGAUGGCGUCCCUUCAGCACUCGCUCGCCCUGCUGCAGGCGACCAACUCGGCGCAACAGGACGUGCUGUACACGACGCAGAUGCAAAAUGAACGAUAUAAGAAGAUAAUAGAGGAUUUCCACAAACAGUUGGAAGACGCCGAGACCACGGUCAGGGGGUUCCGCGCCAAACUGGCGGCCGAGCGGCUCGAGAAAGAGAAGCAAAAGGAACAAUUGCAGAAGGAAUUCGGGGUUCAACUCGCCAACAUAGAAAAAGAGAUGAAAUCACGUGAGAAGGAAGCCGAGGAGAGAUUGAGAAACGCUGACGCAGAGAACAAGACGCUGACGAAGAAACUGGAACAACAAACGAGCAAGAGCAGCGAGCUGGCCGGCGUCCUCAUAAAGUUCGAGGAGCGCGUGAAGCAGCGCGACAAGAGGCUGGAGGAGGCCGCCGCCCACGAGACCGCGCUCCGGAGCGAGAUCGAGGCCAGGGACCUGACCAUUAAGCAGCUGGAGAAGACCGUGCUGGAGCGCGAGAACCGGCUGUACCAGGUCACCACUCAGCUCGACGAGAUGAAGCGCGUGCAAGAGAUGGUCGCCAAGCUGAUGAGCAAGAGCACCUCCGCGAACUGCGCCAGCUGACGUCGAACAACCUCAAAGAUGACGCAGGAUGAGGCGGACGGACGCAGGCCCGGGGACGUCGCGGCAAUCAUAUUACGUAUAUGAGGAUCGUUAAUGUUCUGUUUGAAGUUGGACUAAAGUUUGUUCAUCAGUGCCCUCAGGGAUCAAGGCAUGUUUAUUGGGAAACAGAAACCUCUGUGUGUCAACCAAUUUUGAAUAACAACAUUCCGACCUAUUAACUAUAUAUAUUUACCACGAAACAAGAUAACUACAAAUUAAUAGAAGUCAAAAGUUAAUUAGUUACUUAAUAAAAUAUACAAAUAUC